UUAUUGGAGAGUUUGAUCCUGGCUCAGGACGAACGCUGGCGGCGUGCCUAAUACAUGCAAGUCGAGCGAAUCACU
rnacentral:rRNA from 1 species